UGAGGGCGAUCUAGCCUCAACAUCUGUCACCCCAUUGAUUUCCAGGGUUGAUUCAGAUGAUUUGGUGGGCUAGACGGGUGUCCCCUUUCAUCCUCA
rnacentral:sRNA from 1 species